GCGGCCGCAGAGCCGAGGCGGAGCGCAAGCGGGACGAGCGGGCAGCGCGCCGGGCGCUGGCCAAGGAGCGGCGGAACCGGCCGGAGCCUGGCAGCAGCGGCUGCGAAGAAGAGUUUGUGAGCUUCGCCAACCAACUGCAGGCCCUGGGACUGAAGCUGCGGGAGGUGCCGGGGGACGGCAAUUGCCUGUUCAGAGCGCUGGGCGACCAGUUGGAGGGCCAUUCUCGGAACCAUCUGAAGCACCGACAGGAGACCGUGGACUACAUGAUAAGGCAGCGUGAAGAUUUUGAGCCCUUUGUGGAAGAUGACAUCCCCUUUGAGAAGCAUGUGGCCAGUUUGGCAAAGCCUGGUACUUUUGCUGGCAAUGAUGCAAUUGUAGCGUUUGCAAGAAACCAUCAGUUGAAUGUGGUGAUCCAUCAACUUAAUGCCCCUUUGUGGCAGAUUCGAGGCACAGACAAGAGCAGCGCGAGGGAGCUCCACAUCGCCUACCGGUACGGGGAACACUAUGACAGCGUCCGGAGGAUCAAUGACAACUCAGAAGCGCCAGCUCAUCUCCUAACUGACUUCCAGAUGCUUCAUCAAGAUAGAACAAAUAAAAAAGAGAAAAUGAAGACACA
rnacentral:lncRNA from 1 species